CUGGUUCAUAGUAAAGCAAAAGGUUGCCCACGCAGGGGCUUAAACAGUAAUUUAUAGCAUUCGUUAAGGUGAAAGGUCGCCUGCGUAGGGGCUUAAAUGUUAGCACAUAGGAAUAAAUGCAGAUUAUCGCCUGCGCAGAGGCAUAUUGAUCAGAACACACAGGCGUAUUUAAACUUUUCAGGAAUACACUUCGAAUCAUUACAGCAUAAAUUGCAGGCACUGAGCUAAUACUGCGCACCAGGCUGUCUACGCUUAAAUGUUAAGCUUCUUGGUCAUGUCCUUUAUAACAGCGGUUUGUGGGUCGUAUGGACCUAUUUCGCUCCAGCGGUGGCUGAGCAUGAUCACACGUAGCUGUAUGAGGCAGAUACCGCUAGUGUGAUGUGAUGAUCAGACAGCGUGGAUCGGUUUAAUAAAUCCUAGGUGGGUGCAGUUUGACCGUGUCUAACUAGACCUGAACCUGUUGGUCAGCUGCAAUCUUUGCAUAUUACCACUUAUUUAAGUUAUGCCUAUCUGGUCAGAAAAUAAAGUGUGCAGCUGGAUUAAUCGUGUAUGUAGAUACGAUAUGCCGCUGUUCCUUGAUAAGCUAAUAUGGUUACGAAGGUAUACCGCCAUAUCUUGGGUGCUUCAGUUUAGUUAUCCACUGAUGGGUGCAAUUCAACUGCGUCGAGGUAAGCCUAAACCUGUGUACCAUAGCAAACUAACGUAUAUGUGCUGCAGCAUAAACAGCGUGUCCACGCCUAUUACAAUAUAUUAGGUAAUAAAUGAGUUAGGGUAUAACAGUAAGCAAAUUCUGUAUGAUGUUCAUGGCUCAUUGCAGAGAGAAACAGUAGUAUGUCUAACUCCCGCAAAACCCAUAUAAGAUUUAGAGCUUGAGUCACUUCUCUGGAGGGGGCGUAAUGGCGCUCGGUGUGGCGAUAUGGUCCUUUGUGGACUCGUCAUCUCCCAUG